GAUGAACGCUGGCGGCGUGCCUAAUACAUGCAAGUCGAGCGAACGGACGAGAAGCUUGCUUCUCUGAUGUUAGCGGCGGACGGGUGAGUAACACGUGGAUAAACUACCUAUAAGACUGGGAUAACUUCGGGAAACCGUAGCUAAUACCGGAUAAUAUUUUGAACCGCAUGGUUCAAAAGUGAAGGACGGCCUUGCUGUCACUUAUAGAUGGAUCCGCGCUGCAUUAGCUAGUUGGUAAGGUAACGGCUUACCAAGGCAACGAUGCAUAGCCGACCUGAGAGGGUGAUCGGCCACACUGGAACUGAGACACGGUCCAGACUCCUACGGGAGGCAGCAGUAGGGAAUCUUCCGCAAUGGGCGAAAGCCUGACGGAGCAACGCCGCGUGAGUGAUGAAGGUCUUCGGAUCGUAAAACUCUGUUAUUAGGGAAGAACAUAUGUGUAAGUAACUGUGCACAUCUUGACGGUACCUAAUCAGAAAGCCACGGCUAACUACGUG
rnacentral:rRNA from 1 species